rnacentral:lncRNA from 10 species
AGGCUUGGGAAGAGUAAAGCUGGACCUGAGACCUACUAGCUCCACGUCUUCAUGUCUGACAUGGAAUUCCAAGGAGCCUGUGAAUUUUAAUCUGAAUAUGGGCUUCCAGGUCAUUAUGAAGGUCUAGCCACUUACCACGAGGUGGCAAUAGCAACCUGCACAACGAAUGCCAAGCUCCAAGCAAGGUGUGGAUUCUCCACUGAUUUCCUGGGCCGAAGAAUUUUCCUAUGUUUUAGAAAUAUUGUGAUGAAGUUUCAUUUUUAUGUGAUGAAAAUGUUUUAAAAUUGAUUGUCGUGAUGGUUGCACAACUCUGUGAACGGACUAGGAGCCAUUGGAUUGUACACUUUAAAUA